CAAUUAUUUACAUACACUAUAAAAAAAACAAUAUCCUUCCCAAAAAUGACUUACAAGACACUCUAUUAUACAAAAUAACUAUUUACAAAUUGAGAUAGCGUAAACAUAGAAUUUAGUAACAUUAAUAACAAUUACUAUUUAACGGUAGAGCUCUGAUUUAACGGGGACAGAGACAUAUAAUACAUUGUUUUAUUAUAUGUCUGUGACGGGGACUAUUAUGCUGUUAGUAUGAUAGUUCCGGCAAUUUAACAAAUUGAUCCUCAAAAGGACGGUGUUGCUAUUGUGGGUCAGGGACUUGCCGGGCCGCCUUGGUGCACUAAGCUCUCGAACCUGCACUAAGACCAGGAUGGAACACUAUAGCGAACUUUCUAUACUACUGAAAAGUCCAUGUGUGGGCUUGUCAGAUAAAAAUAGACAACGCUUAUAUUUUAGAAUAAAAAAGUGAAGAAUAGAAAUAUUACUAUACAUUGUACGGACAUUUAGACUAAUGCACUAGCUGUGAUACAGCGGAAGAAAUAAUGUCGAGUGUAGCAAAGAUGAAAAAAAAACAAAAAACAACGAUUUUAAUAAUGCUAAAAACUAUAUAGUUUCAAAUCAAGGGCAAAACGUACGCUAUGGCCCGGAUUCCGACACUGACCUAGCAAUUUACGAUAUAAUUAAACAAUUAAAAACCUUGUAAAAAAAUUACAGAAAAAAAGUCUGUUAUUUUCCUUUAACUGGGAAUAUUAUGAUACUUUGUGAACAUUAUAUAUACAUCUUCAAUCAGUGUUUUAAAGUCAUAUCAGAUAAAUAAAAAAAAA
rnacentral:lncRNA from 1 species